rnacentral:rRNA from 1 species
CCCUUAGAUGUUCUGGGCCGCACGCGUGCUACACUGAGUGGAUCAGCGGGUCAGGUUGCGCGAAAGCGUUUCCUAAUCUUUAAAUCCGCUCGUGAUGGGGAUUGACGGUUGCAAUUUUCUGUCAUGAACGAGGAAUACCUUGUAAGCGCGGGUCAUCAUCCCGCGCUGAAUACGUCCCUGCCCUUUGCACACACCGCCCGUCGCACCUACCGAUUGAAUGGUCCGGUGAAAUCUUCGGAUUGAGACUUUGUUUUCUUCACGGAAAACGCUGUUUUAAAAAGUUGAUUAAACCUUACCAUUUAGAGGAAGGUGAAGUCGUAACA